rnacentral:rRNA from 1 species
GACGAACGCUGGCGGCGUGCUUAACACAUGCAAGUCGAACGGAAAGGCCCUGCUUUUGUGGGGUGCUCGAGUGGCGAACGGGUGAGUAACACGUGAGUAACCUGCCCUUGACUUUGGGAUAACUUCAGGAAACUGGGGCUAAUACCGGAUAGGAGCUCCUGCUGCAUGGUGGGGGUUGGAAAGUUUCGGCGGUUGGGGAUGGACGCGCGGCUUAUCAGCUUGUUGGUGGGGUAGUGGCUUGCCAAGGGUUUGACGGGUAGCCGGCCUGGGAGGGUGACCGGCCACAUUGGGACUGAGAUACGGCCCAGACUCCUACGGGGGGCAGCAGUGGGGAAUAUUGCACAAUGGGCGGAAGCCUGAUGCAGCAACGCCGCGUGCGGGAUGACGGCCUUCGGGUUGUAAACCGCUUUCGCCUGUGACGAAGCGUGAGUGACGGUAAUGGGUAAAGAAGCACCGGCUAACUACGUG